CCUACGGGAGGCAGCAGUAGGGAAUAUUGGUCAAUGGGCGAAAGCCUGAACCAGCAACGCCGCGUGCGCGAUGAAGGCCUUCGGGUCGUAAAGCGCUUUUGGGAGGGAUGAAAAUGACAGUACCUCCCGAAUAAGGAUCGGCUAACUACGUGCCAGCAGCCGCGGUAAGACGUAGGAUCCAAGCGUUAUCCGGAAUUACUGGGCGUAAAGGGCGUGUAGGAGGUUGGGCAAGUCGGCCAUGAAAGCUCCCGGCUCAACUGGGAGAGGCUGGUCGAUACUGCCUGGCUAGAGGGCAAGAGAGGGAGGUGGAAUUCCCGGUGUAGUGGUGAAAUGCGUAGAUAUCGGAAGGAACACCAGUGGCGAAGGCGGCCUCCUGGCUUGUACCUGACUCUGAAACGCGAAAGCAUGGGUAGCAAACAGGAUUAGAAACCCUGGUAGUCCAUGCCAUAAACGAUGUCAACUGGGUGUCGGCGAAGUAAAAUUUGUCGGUGCCGAAGCUAACGCGUUAAGUUGACCGCCUGAGGACUACGAUCGCAAGAUUAAAACUUAAAGAAUAGUACGGACGUGAGACGUGCGACGGACGACACAGGGAGUAGG
rnacentral:rRNA from 1 species